rnacentral:rRNA from 1 species
UUAAAUUGAAGAGUUUGAUCAUGGCUCAGAUUGAACGCUGGCGGCAGGCCUAACACAUGCAAGUCGAACGGUAACAGGAAGCAGCUUGCUGCUUCGCUGACGAGUGGCGGACGGGUGAGUAAUGUCUGGGAAACUGCCUGAUGGAGGGGGAUAACUACUGGAAACGGUAGCUAAUACCGCAUAACGUCGCAAGACCAAAGAGGGGGACCUUCGGGCCUCUUGCCAUCGGAUGUGCCCAGAUGGGAUUAGCUAGUAGGUGGGGUAACGGCUCACCUAGGCGACGAUCCCUAGCUGGUCUGAGAGGAUGACCAGCCACACUGGAACUGAGACACGGUCCAGACUCCUACGGGAGGCAGCAGUGGGGAAUAUUGCACAAUGGGCGCAAGCCUGA